GCGAGGUCCCCUCUUUUUCACACAUCAUCAUAGCUUGAAGCUCUUCCUCUCUCUCCUCCCAUGGCCGAUCGUCGACGCCGUCGGUCGAUCUCCCCAUCCGUAGCUCCUCUUCCCCUCUCCUCGCACCACCGGCUUCGCCUCCAUCCGGCGAGUCCAUUUUUCCCCUUUCCCCUCUCCCUCCACCUCUAAGUCAAGUCACCACCACCAUCAUCCAUGCCGACUCAUGGUGAGCCCUUGCCGCCGCUGUUCCGGCCAUCUCCCUCACUCCCUCCACCUGCCACUACCCUCACCGGGUGCGCGUCGUCCGGGAACACGUGUGUCCGCCGGCGUCGCAACCUCUCGACCACCGGAGCACCGGCGCCCAACCUCUCUCUCCUCUGUGUUCUCGGCAGAAAGAAGAAGGAAAGAAGAAGACGGGAGAAGGAGAGAGAAAGAGAAAAGAAAAAGAAAAGGAGAACGGAGUGACAGAGUCUAUUUUAUUUUGGAUGGCAACCUGUGAUAUUUCGAGGAUUGGAUAAUAAGGUUGCUUAUCUCGGAUUUAUUUGCGUUGGAGCAAGGCAAGUUAUUAUUCCUCCCCUUGAGCAUAAUUACCCUAUAUUCUAUAUCUCUUUUCUAUGCAUUAGUCAUUCAUGAUUUUGAAUGCAUAACCUGAACAUAUAGCAAACCAGAUAUGCUAGCUUUUGCUUAGCCCUGCCUAGUUAGGCUGCAUAAAAAUAUAAUGAACCUAGAUUGGGACAGUACGUAAGAUUUGGUUGAUUUCUGGGUGGCUAGUACUGUCCCGGUCGAUAUAAUUGCCACCAAAUACUUAUGUCAAACGAACGAGUAUGACCACAGCUUCUUGAAUGGGGACAGACCUAGAUAUUAUGUUAAUUAGCAAUGUGGUACCUCUGUACAGUGGUUCCUUUUGUAAGUCCUCGCGCAAGAGGCAAUCUUAUGCCGAGCAGGGCAUCUUAUGAUAUUUACCGAGGCGCAGGUAAAUAUAUUGAUU